rnacentral:rRNA from 2 species
UUGGAGGGCAAGUCUGGUGCCAGCAGCCGCGGUAAUUCCAGCUCCAAUAGCGUAUAUUAAAGUUGUCGCAGUUAAAAAGCUCGUAGUUGAAUUUCGGGAUCAAUAUUUCGGUCAUGCCGUUGGUAUGCACUGUUAUCAUUGAUUUCUCACCUUCUAAAGAACCGUAAUGCCAUUAAUUUGGUGUUACGGGGAAUUAGGACUGUUACCUUGAAAAAAUUAGAGUGUUUAAAGCAGGCUCACGCUUGAAUACAUUAGCAUGGAAUAAUGAAAUAGGACAUCCGAUUCUAUUUUGUUGGUUUCUAGGAUCGAUGUAAUGAUUAAUAGGGAUAGUUGGGGGCAUUAGUAUUCAAUUGUCAGAGGUGAAAUUCUUGGAUUUAUUGAAGACUAACUACUGCGAAAGCAUUUGCCAAGGAUGUUUUCAUUAAUCAAGAACGAAAGUUAGGGGAUCGAAGACGAUCAGAUACCGUCGUAGUCUUAACCAUAAACUAUGCCGACUAGGGAUCGGAUGAUGUUAAUUUUUUAAUGACUCAUUCGGCGCCUUACGGGAAAC